rnacentral:rRNA from 1 species
CGGAAUCUACUUUUUCGUGGGGGAUAACGUAGGGAAACUUACGCUAAUACCGCAUACGACCUACGGGUGAAAGCAGGGGACCUUCGGGCCUUGCGCGAUUGAAUGAGCCGAUGUCGGAUUAGCUAGUUGGCGGGGUAAAGGCCCACCAAGGCGACGAUCCGUAGCUGGUCUGAGAGGAUGAUCAGCCACACUGGAACUGAGACACGGUCCAGACUCCUACGGGAGGCAGCAGUGGGGAAUAUUGGACAAUGGGCGCAAGCCUGAUCCAGCCAUACCGCGUGGGUGAAGAAGGCCUUCGGGUUGUAAAGCCCUUUUGUUGGGAAAGAAAUCCAGCUGGCUAAUACCCGGUUGGGAUGACGGUACCCAAAGAAUAAGCACCGGCUAACUUCGUGCCAGCAGCCGCGGUAAUACGAAGGGUGCAAGCGUUACUCGGAAUUACUGGGCGUAAAGCGUGCGUAGGUGGUCGUUUAAGUCCGUUGUGAAAGCCCUGGGCUCAACCUGGGAACUGCAGUGGAUACUGGGCGACUAGAAUGUGGUAGAGGGUAGCGGAAUUCCUGGU